GCACACAUUUCCGUCCCUGUCCACCAGGGGGUGCAGCUUCCUACCACAAUCACAUUUUCUGUGUGAAAUGUGGGCUUCCACUGAUCAUUUCUCUGUCCCUCCAACGUUUCUUCAUGGUAAGAAUGAAGAAUAUCAUUUAGGUGAUGCUCCAGAGAUGAAGUGUUCUCCAGGCUUCGUGACUGUGAUACUCUUAAUGCUUGGACAAACCCAUGGAGACUCGGUGACCCAGACGGAGGGCCAAGUGACCCUCUCAGAAAAGGGUUUCCUGAUGGUGAACUGUACUUAUUCAGGAUCAGGGUAUCCUGCCCUUUACUGGUAUGUCCAGUAUCCAGGAGAAGGUCCACAGCUCCUCCUUAGUGCCUUGACGGAUAAGGAGAAAGGAAGCAAGAAAGGAUUUGAAGCCACUUAUGACAGAGAUUACAAAUCCUUCCACUUGGAGAAAGGCUCAGUGCAAGCGUCAGAUUCAGCUGUGUACUAUUGUGCCAUGAAUGACACAGUGACGGGGACUGCAGGGGGAGCUGAGCACAAACUCUGA